AUUGAACGCUGGCGGCAUGCCUUACACAUGCAAGUCGAACGGUAACAGGCCUCAAGGUGCUGACGAGUGGCGAACGGGUGAGUAAUACAUCGGAACGUGCCCGGUCGUGGGGGAUAACUACUCGAAAGAGUAGCUAAUACCGCAUACGAUCUACGGAUGAAAGCAGGGGACCGCAAGGCCUCGCGCGCUUGGAGCGGCCGAUGUCAGAUUAGGUAGUUGGUGGGGUAAAGGCUUACCAAGCCAACGAUCUGUAGCUGGUCUGAGAGGACGACCAGCCACACUGGGACUGAGACACGGCCCAGACUCCUACGGGAGGCAGCAGUGGGGAAUUUUGGACAAUGGGCGAAAGCCUGAUCCAGCCAUGCCGCGUGCAGGAUGAAGGCCUUCGGGUUGUAAACUGCUUUUGUACGGAACGAAACGACUCUGGUUAAUACCUGGGGUUAAUGACGGUACCGUAAGAAUAAGCACCGGCUAACUACGUG
rnacentral:rRNA from 1 species